GAUGUAGUGCAUAAUUGUUUUCCAUCGUAUUUUCUCGGAAAUGUUCGUAUUUGUCAUGCUACUUCAGUCAACCUCAGUACUUUUUGUACCGAGACUGACUGAAAUAGCAAGACACGUUCGUACGUUUCCGUGAAAAAACGAUGGAAAAUAAUUAUGCACUACAUCUCUGUGCUGUAUUCUACACCAUUUCAAUUCAACGUUUAUGUUAGGUUAAAUAUUGCUCACACCGCCAAUUUUGUGAUUGUAUUUUUUAUGCUUGCGGUGUUACCAUGCUAAGUAUUUUGAACGCAAUCUUUUUAGCGAUGGCAACACCGAUCGUAUGGCUGAUUUUUUUAAAGUGCUUUUUUGAAACGAUUAAUGAUUUAAAAUUUAUUUAUUAUUAUAUUAUUUAUAUUUUUUAAGUCAUCCAAUAAUUUCUAAUUAAGGACACAUGUAAAUUAUAUAUGGAAUCGAUUGUCAGUUAUGUUAUUAUUAUAUACAGGAUUUACCAUGACUGGUGGAAAAAAACUAGUUUUUGUCUCUGACAGUCCUGACACACAUACCUAUACAUUGCCGUGUGUCUUACCUCACCUUGGUCUGGUAGAAAAAUAAUCUAAGUACCUACUUUGAAAGCCACCGACGAUUGUGACGAAUGUAGAAUGAGUGACGAAAGCAGAAUAGGACUAAUUUAAGAACUUGACGAAAAACGAAUGGGACGACCCAAGACGAUACCCUAUUAUAAUCCAUCGACGAUGUUUUUCAGUUGUAAUUUUUUAAUAAACCGUAAGACUACUGACAAAAUGCAGACCUUAUUUAAUUGCAAUAAGGUGUACAUUCAAUUAACCAUGAGUGUAACGACAAUGAAUAGGGUGACUAUGACUACAGGCCGCCAGUCAGGUCAGUCCUGUUUAGAUAUGGCUGUAUAGUUACACCGUUGUUCCGUGUAGCCUCGUUACUGUUAGGACGGCAUAUCUGUAAUAAAUGUGUGUAUAUUGGA